GCAGAGUUAAAUCUGC
rnacentral:misc_RNA from 1 species